rnacentral:rRNA from 1 species
CCUACGGGAGGCAGCAGUGAGGAAUAUUGGUCAAUGGACGAGAGUCUGAACCAGCCAAGUAGCGUGAAGGAUGACUGCCCUAUGGGUUGUAAACUUCUUUUAUAAAGGAAUAAAACGAGGCACGUGUGCCUUUUUGUAUGUACUUUAUGAAUACGGAUCGGCUAACCACGUGCCAGCAGCCGCGGUAAUACGGAGGAUCCGAGCGUUAUCCGGAUUUAUUGGGUUUAAAGGGAGCGUAGAUGGGUUGUUAAGUUAGUUGUGAAAGUUUGCGGCUCAACCGUAAAAUUGCAAUUGAUACUGGCAGUCUUGAGUACAGUUGAGAUAGGCGGAAUUCGUGGUGUAGCGGUGAAAUGCUUAGAUAUCACGAAGAACCCCGAUUGCGAAGGCAGCUUACUAAACUGUGACUGACAUUGAUGCUCGAAAGUGUGGGUAUCAAACAGGAUUAGAUACCCUGGUAGUC